CUACCCUCUUCAUUGAGCAUACAUAGGAUAUAUCAGUUUAUCCAAAAUAUUGAUCUCCGACUCAAUGCUCCUAUGACCAAGAAUAUUUAAGAUUAGAGUUUUAGGAUUUUAAGUCUCACCAGUAUGACCCAUUCAUAUCUCCUAAAAUUAUUGCCCUGAUCUUUGAGAUUCAUCAUUAUCUUAGAUAUAAUAAGAUGCAGCUAAAAUGAUGA
rnacentral:lncRNA from 1 species